GCUUCCCCUAGUGCAGCUUCUCCUGUACUUUUUACACUGGGCUUUGCUUCAAGUAUUCCUGUUACACUUGCCAGAAUCAAGCAGUAAGUUCCACCUGAAAUCACUGAGCUGUAGCUAAUUCAUUAACAGGCUGAUAUAGUAGUUGGAGAUGCAUGUUUGUACAUUUCCUAUAUUGAUACUAAAAGGAGAAAAGAUUUGUGUGGAAUUACACAAACAGAAUAUAAAGGAGGAAAUUAUCUUAAUGACCUGCCUUAUAGUUUUUCAGUUUCUGGAGCAGGAAAAGCCUCCUAGGAGCACUGGGUGGGAAAGAUGACCUACUUUAAUAAAAAAACACAGGUGAACUGAACCUAGUUUUCCAAACCUCAGUCCAGCAAUCAGUCCUAUUAAAACAUGGUCUUAAAAUCUUCAUGUAUCUUUUAUGCAAAAUAACUGUUCUAGGAAGAGAAGGAAACUUUCUGCCCAGUGCUAGGUGAGGACUCUCCAUGCAGGUAAGCCACUGCUUUGUCCAGGCUGGUACUUGAGGUGACAGGGGAAGGCACUGUUGCUUUCCAUAGUGUAAUGUCUUCAGCUUCUUAUUGAUUUAUUUUAUCACUGACUAUUUUUCAGUUUAUGUUAGACCAGUUUAACCUCUGGAGCAUGAGAUUUUAUUACAUUAUCUUGCACUGCUCACUAUAUUACCUGCCCUGGAUGGCUUGACUCCUUCCAUCUCAUCUCAGACUCCUUGGGAACUUUCCAUACUGGAGCAACUGCCUACCUGUCUAUUGCUAUAAUUUUACAUUUAGGUUUUUUUUUAGUCAGUGGCUUAUUAUCAGAUUUAAAUAUUCUAAAACCAUGCCUCAAGUAAUGUGAUUGCAGCACUGUCUGCAGGGUACCUGCAAAGGGUUGUUUGUUUGGAAAUUACAACAGAUUAUGGCUUUGACAUUAUUGCUACUGCAUAUUGCUGGGGUUGGGAUUCAGAGCUUUGCACAGCAUUUACAGCAUUUCUCGGGUUUAAGUGAACUGGGUUUCUACUGUUGGUAUAGACAUGAUGCUACUAGGGAAGAUUUGCAGAAUAAAAAGGUUUGCAGCCCUUCUGAAGUAAAUUUAUUGGCAUUACUAAAACAGAUGGGGGAGAGGCAGUCUUAAUGAAAAACUGCCAACAGCCAGAGUUGCCUCUUGCUGAUGGUCUGAACACUCUGACAGUUUUGUUCAGGUACACCUGUGAAUCAGACUUACUCUAGAGCAUGUUGCUGAAGACACCGCCUAGCAUAGCUGGUUUGUGGUUCAAUGCAACAUUCCAAAUUAGUGCAUUUAUCUAUAAAUUUUAGCUGUUCUACCUCAAAGACUCUAAUUGCACCUUUAUACUACCUGCUGCAAGCAUAAAAUGGGAAGCCCUUGCUGAAUCCUGGUAGCUGUAAGCAGUUUACAUUCACUUUUAAAAAUUUCUAGUUUCUCAUCUGAAAGAAACCAAAUACAAAAGAUGAAAAGGGAAAUUGCUAGCAUUAUCUCCAUAUUUAUUUGUCAACAAAAUGUUGCUGGUAUACUGUAUAUUGUAUAAUAUACUGUAUAUUGUUUAAUGUAUAAUAUUGCAUAUAAAACACGAUGCAUCCUAACCCUCCUGAAGAUCAGUCCAAGUUCUUGAAAAUACAAAUUGUAGCUUCAGAUAUUGCCAUUAACAGAUUCUGUGAGGGGAAUCAAGAUCUCACUAUUAGGAAGGGUGCUAUAGCAAGUCUGUGGUGUGCAUGCUUUCAUGCUUGUCACUUCAGUGUAGUUCCUUCUGGCAGGAGCAGAUUGCAAACACUCUUACAAAGCAGAAGUGGCAGCCCCUCUGCUGAAGGAUGAUCUCCUGAGCUAUGGUUUAUUUAUGGCUUGUGGUGUGUUACCAGGUUUGCUUUCAGCCAAGAGGAAAAAGUGGCACACAAAUGAUAGGAGGUUCAUUAUAACUGACACACUUAAAUGUCUGCAGAGCUGUUUCAGCACUGGAUUUCCAACCUUCUCUGUGGUUUCCCAAGUUUUACAUUUCCUUCAGCCUAGAUAACAGCAUAAAUCAGGUGGAGUUUGUGUAUUGAGUAGUUUGCUUUUGGAGGCAUGUGCAAUGCAUAAUUCUGCUACUCUGUUGGGUACCCGCUCUCCACAAAGUGUUUGAAAGCACCAUGCUAUACAAGUGUACAGAUUCACUGGGAACAAUCUGAGAGAUACAUAAAAGCACUCCUUAUUCUUG